ensembl:misc_RNA 7SK 7SK RNA
GGGCAGUGUGGCUGUGACAUCUGUCAUCCCAUUGAUUGCUAGGGGUGGUCCUGGUGUCCUCAUAACGGCUCCAUCUGUGUCCCGUGAAGACACUUGCUGGUUUGAGGAGGACCUUCUUAGGGGAGGACCAGUGCUUUGUCAAAGAUUUACAUAUAACUGCACUCCUCAGCUAGAACCUCCCAACCAGCUUUCAAGGUCCAUUUGCAGAGGAACAUGGCAGUCAAGCUUCCGAGACUCAGGGCACACCAAAUGAGGAACCGCGCGUGGCGGUCUGCCUUUCUUU